rnacentral:rRNA from 1 species
CCCCUAGUUGCCAUCAUUCAGUUGAGCACUUUAGGGGGACUGCCGGUGAUAAGCCGAGAGGAAGGUGGGGAUGACGUCAAGUCCUCAUGGCCCUUACGGGCUGGGCUACACACGUGCUACAAUGGUGGUGACAGUGGGCAGCGAGACCGCGAGGUCGAGCUAAUCUCCAAAAGCCAUCUCAGUUCGGAUUGCACUCUGCAACUCGAGUGCAUGAAGUCGGAAUCGCUAGUAAUCGUGGAUCAGCAUGUCACGGUGAAUACGUUCCCGGGUCUUGUACACACCGCCCGUCACACCAUGGGAGCGGGUCUCGCCAGAAGUAGGUAGCCUUUCCGCAAGGAGGGCGCUUACCACGGCGGGGUUC